GAAAUGCGAUAUGUCAUGUGAAUUGCAGAUUUAUGUGAAUCAUCGAAUCUUUGAACGCAAAUUGUGCACAAGGGAUCACACCCUUGAGCGUGUCUAUUCGAGUGUAGAUAAUAUAUUCUUCAAUUAAAUUCUAUUUAAUUGAGUAAUUACUAUCACUCUACCUUAUGAGAUAGUUUAAAAUAACAAACAUCAAACAGAUUAUUGUUUGAAAUCCAUUUCAUAAUUACUUUUAAAAAGGUUCUUAUGGUGGACAUAAUAUCUGUUUUAUUAACAAAAAUCUCUAUCUCGAAUUAGACAAGGUUACCCGCUGAAUUUAA
rnacentral:misc_RNA from 1 species